UCGACGGAGCUACUUCGGCGUAUCCCUUC
rnacentral:sRNA from 1 species